GAUGAACGCUGGCGGCGUGCUUAAGACAUGCAAGUCGAACGGAGUGUGUAGCAAUACUCACUAAGUGGCGAAUGGGUGAGUAACACGUAGGUGACCUGCCCUGAAGUGCGGAAUAACAGUCCGAAAGGAUUGCUAAUACCGCAUGUGGUCCCGGGCGUUAGAGAACCGGGUCUAAAGCAGUAAUGCGCUUCAGGAGGGGCCUGCGGUCCAUCAGCUAGUUGGUAGGGAAUGGCCUACCAAGGCAACGACGGAUAGGGGACCUGAGAGGGUGGCCCCCACAUUGGCA
rnacentral:rRNA from 1 species